rnacentral:rRNA from 1 species
AUUGAACGCUGGCGGAAUGCUUUACACAUGCAAGUCGAACGGCAGCACGGACUUCGGUCUGGUGGCGAGUGGCGAACGGGUGAGUAAUGCAUCGGAACGUGCCCAAUCGUGGGGGAUAACGUAGCGAAAGUUACGCUAAUACCGCAUACGAUCUAAGGAUGAAAGCGGGGGAUCGCAAGACCUCGCGCGAAUGGAGAGGCCGAUGUUAGAUUAGGUAGUGGUUGGGGUAAAGGCUAACCAAGCCGACGAUCUAUAGCUGGUCUGAGAGGAUGAUCAGCCACACUGGGACUGAGACACGGCCCAGACUCCUACGGGAGGCAGCAGUGGGGAAUUUUGGACAAUGGGCGCAAGCCUGAUCCAGCCAUUCCGCGUGCAGGAUGAAGGCCCUCGGGUUGUAAACUGCUUUUGUACAGAACGAAAAGCUCUGGGUUAAUACCCUGGGGUCAUGACGGUACUGUAAGAAUAAGCACCGGCUAACUACGUGCCAGCAGCCGCCGUAA